UACGUAGGGGGCGAGCGUUGUCCGGAAUUAUUGGGCGUAAAGGGCGUGUAGGCGGCCGAUCAAGUCAGGUGUGGAAAUUCCAGGGCUCAACCCUGGACGUGCACUUGAAACUGUGUAGCUUGAGUACAGGAGAGGAAAGUGGAAUUCCCAGUGUAGCGGUGAAAUGCGUAGAUAUUGGGAGGAACACCAGUGGCGAAGGCGACUUUCUGGACUGUAACUGACGCUGAGGCGCGAAAGCGUGGGGAGCAAACAGG
rnacentral:rRNA from 1 species